UGUUCCAGUGGAAGCUCCGCACAGAGCAGCUCUUUCUUCUGCAGCACCUGUGAACUGCAGCUGUGAGGACUGGAAGUCCUACAGGUCACCACCAGUCAUCUUUUUUAUAAAGACACCAGCAGAAAGGAAAACACUCGGGCAACAAUAGCUGAAGUUAUUGGCGUGAGUGGCGGAGUGCUGUGGCGCAGCCGCACAGCAUCAGGUGGGCGCGCCCGCUCCGUUUCGUUCUAUUUUUCACGCGAGCCGCGAGCGCCGGGAGCGCCAUAUGUCAAGCUGGAUCAAGCAGAUCGGACCAGACAGGAAGUCGGAAACAGAAAAGGCAAGAGAAUCCGGUCAAUUUUCAAAA